GACGAACGCUGGCGGCGCGCCUAACACAUGCAAGUCGAACGAGCGAGAGAGAGCUUGCUUUCUCGAGCGAGUGGCGAACGGGUGAGUAACGCGUGAGGAACCUGCCUCAAAGAGGGGGACAACAGUUGGAAACGACUGCUAAUACCGCAUAAGCCCACGGUGCCGCAUGGCACAGAGGGAAAAGGAGCAAUCCGCUUUGAGAUGGCCUCGCGUCCGAUUAGCUAGUUGGUGAGGUAAUGGCCCACCAAGGCGACGAUCGGUAGCCGGACUGAGAGGUUGAACGGCCACAUUGGGACUGAGACAAGGCCCAGACUCCUACGGGAGGGAGGAGUGGGGAAUAUUGCACAAUGGGGGAAACCCUGAUGCAGCGACGCCGCGUGGAGGAAGAAGGUCUUCGGAUUGUAAACUCCUGUUGUUGGGGAAGAUAAUGACGGUACCCAACAAGGAAGUGACGGCUAACUACGUG
rnacentral:rRNA from 1 species